AAUUUUCAAUACACCGUAUGAUACACCGUAUAUAUUAUCAAAAGAAAUUUUUCUUGCACACAAAUCAAUGUAAAAUAAAUUAUUAAAAAACAAAAUUAGUAUGUAUUGUGUAGUCAAUUUACGGUGUAGGUGUUUAAAAAUGGAUGUAAACAUAUCUUUUCUCUAUUCAAAACAGCUUUGCUAAUUUGACACAAAUUUUCAAUACACCGUAUGAUACACCGUAUAUAUUAUCAAAAGAAAUUUUUCUUGCACACAAAUCAAUGUUAAAUAAAUUAUUAGAAAACAAAAUUAGUAUGUAUUGUGUAGUCAAUUACGGUGUAGGUGUUAAAAAUGGAUGUAAACAUAUCUUUUCUCUAUUCAAAACAGCUUUGCUAAUUUAACACCAAUUUUCAAUACAUCGUAUGAUACACCGUAUAUAUUAUCAAAAGAAAUUUUUCUUGCACACAAAUCAAUGUAAAAUAAAUUAUUAGAAAACAAAAUUAGUAUGUAUUGUGUAGUCAAUUACGGUGUCGGUGUUAAAAAUGGAUGUAAACAUAUCUUUUCUCUAUUCAAAACAGUUUUGCUAAUUUGACACCAAUUUUCAAUACAGCGUAUGAUACACCGUAUAUAUUAUCAAAAGAAAUUUUUCUUGCACACAAAUCAAUGUAAAAUAAAUUAUUAAAAAACAAAAUUAGUAUGUAUUGUGUAGUCAAUUACGGUGUAGGUGUUAAAAAUGGAUGUAAACAUAUCUUUUCUCUAUUCAAAACAGCUUUGCUAAUUUGACACCAAUUUUCAAUACACCGUAUGAUACACCGUAUAUAUUAUCAAAAGAAAUUUUUCUUGCACACAAAUCAAA
rnacentral:lncRNA from 1 species